UCGGGGCCCCGGCCUGCCGCCGUGGCCCCGCGGGAGGCCUCUCAGCAGACACGGGCCACUUCGCCCUCCCGCUAGCGGCAUCGCCCACUGCUUUCGCCCACGAACAGCUUCGGCCUCCGGGCACGGAACGGUGACUCGGUCAGAGGCACAACGCUCAGCCUUUCGGAAGUCAGGCAAGGAAUGCCGCGGCAUCUCUGUAAAUGGGAUCACUUUACUGAGCCGAUGGUACCCAUGCAGAGAUGCGGGCGAAUGACCAGACCCAGAGUCACAGUUGUGGGCCCAUUCAUAAAGGAGGAUGCUCGCUGUGUCUCUGCAUGUGUCAUCACUGUGGUCUUCUUGGACUAUGAAUUAAUAUGACUGGAAAGCUAAAGAUGCCAGUGACAUGGCCUGCUUCAGGGACCUGAGGAACCGGAGGGGCUCCAAGGACUCACGGAUCCUUCAAACCGGCAACAAACAUGCCUGCUAGUUAUCUAAUUUGCAGUGACUAGCCUUUUAACAGUCCAUGGCGGGACAAUCAGCUGGGAAGCAACCUGGAACCAGGAGGAGGGUCACAUCUCAUGAUGCUGCUUCAUGGAUGCUAUGACUAUAGGAUCAUCUAUAAGAAGAAGAGUUGGAUUUAUAUCCGCCCUUUCUCUCCUAUAGGAGACUCAAAGGAGC